UUAAGUUCAGCGGGUAUCCCUACCUGAUCCGAGGUCAACACUUGAGAGCUGAAGGGUUUAUCCGGGCGGGACGGGUGCCAACGCUUCGCGACGCAAAGAUGCUCACUACGCUGACGUCGACACCAUCGUCCGCCUUUGGAAUUCGGGACGACCGCCGUUCGAGGACGGUCCCGCCCCAACACCGAGCGAUGAAGCUCGAG
rnacentral:misc_RNA from 1 species